AGUCCUGAGGUGUAUAACAUGUGUGGUUGCAAACCACAAGAAGCAGGUUUACCGUCUGCCGGGACUU
rnacentral:tRNA from 1 species